rnacentral:rRNA from 1 species
UACGGAGGGUGCAAGCGUUAUCCGGAUUCACUGGGUUUAAAGGGUGCGUAGGUGGGUUGGUAAGUCAGUGGUGAAAUCUCCGUGCUUAACAUGGAAACUGCCAUUGAUACUACUGAUCUUGAAUUUUCUGGAGGUAAGCGGAAUAUGUCAUGUAGCGGUGAAAUGCUUAGAUAUGACAUAGAACACCAAUUGCGAAGGCAGCUGGCUACACAAAUAUUGACACUGAGGCACGAAAGCGUGGGGAUCAAACAGG